rnacentral:rRNA from 1 species
UACGAAGGGGGCUAGCGUUGCUCGGAAUCACUGGGCUUACAGGGUGCGUAGGCGGCCUGACAAGUAGGGUGUGAAAGCCCCCGGCUUAACCGGGGAAUGGCGCCCUAAACUGUCGGGCUGGAGUGAGAUAGGGGUGUGCGGAACUUCCGGUGGAGCGGUGAAAUGUGUUGAUAUCGGAAGGAACGCCGGUGGCGAAAGCGGCACACUGGAUCUCAACUGACGCUGAGGCACGAAAGCCAGGGGAGCGAACGGG